UCCGAUUCUACCGGACAAAGUCCACCUUCAACGCGCUAGCGACGGAGGAACAGCCGCAGCGGCCUCGGCUCCGACGUGGCUCGCCGGCGCAGCCUCCGCUCUCGUCGCAGGCGCCCGCCGUCCGCCGGGGCCUCUCCGGCGAGUGGAGGCUGCAUCUGAGGCCCCCACUUCAAUUCCUCCGCUUCUCCGCGCUGUGCCGUCGGUUCGCGCUCAGGUUUGCUUUGGGUGCUCUUGUCCAGCGGCGGCUAUGGAGACUCCUGCCUAGCGGCAGCGGGACGCACGCUUGCUGCCUUGCUUGAUAUCAUGGGUAAAAGGGUAACUACGUGCAUCAUUACUAAUUGGUCGGAAACGUCAAAGAAAUAAAACAGGGGAGGGAGUUUUUGGUAAAAAUAUCAGAAUUUUAUUUUGUGAAAAUGAACUAGAGCUAGUAACAAUCGGGUCACAGAGUGGACACGCAAGGCAGUGACUUUUGUGUUGGUUAUGUAUAAUACUUUCUUUUGUGAAGUACUGUACUGUAUGUAAAGCAAGCUAAUAUACAUGGUAAACUUGAAAGGAUGCACUAUUUGUGUAAGCUUGCAUUGUCCCAAAUGUGAUUUGGUUGAGAAUGUUAGCAUGGAGCACCGCAUUUGUAAUUUGCAUCAUCUUAAAGGCUGUUACUCCAUUUAUUGUCAACAAGAGUGCAGCAGUAAAGUCCAAUUUCAAAAAAAUUAGCCAUUACAUUAUCAGUAAACCUUAUGUCUAUUAAAACAUGUAACAUGGUAUUUGUCAUACUUCACGCCAUGCUACUCGACUUUCAAAAGCUAGACACUUAAUUAAAUUGGUUUUGCUCUGAAAUAUUGGUGGUCCAAGUUUGUACAGGUGCGUAAUAUCUUGGCUGUAUGCCUGUGUUGUUAUUUUUGUUUUAAAAGACCUUGUUUCCAUUUUUGCAGGAAAGGGGAUUGGAUUAUCUUUAUCAUUAUGACCCUCCUAUUUUUUUUUACCGUGAUUUAAAAUCAUCAAUUUUGUUGGUUGGCAAGAACUAGACUGUAAAGAUUUUGGUCUUUCACGCCUGAACCAUGCAACAUUUCUAAUCUAAGAACAAAACCUGGAAAAGGAACUCCACAGCUGGUGGCUCCAGAACCUUAAGAUGGAAAGUCUGAUGUGUAGUUGUGUACAGCUAUGGUGUUAUUGAUCUUUGGGAACUUGCUACUCAGAAGAUAUUCUGGCUAAUCUAAUACGAUGCAGGUUAUUGGAGCUCUGGGUUUCAUGGCUAAGAGUUGGACAUUCCAAGAGAGACAGAUCCUCAAUGGGCAUCAAUGAUCUGAGAGUUGUCAGCAUAGCGUCCCACAAAAAUGCCCUUCAUUCCUAGAGCUCCUAGACAGGACCAGGGAUCUGCAAAAGCAGUACACCCUGCAGGCUCAGAAGCUUGUGGAUCUAGAAGGCUCAACACAUCUUCCUCGGCUGCUACCUGUAGGAUCUGUUGCCGGAGUUGAGUUGCAGCAGAAAAGUGGCGCAUGGUUUCCCCAGAUCUCAGCCUGAAGCUUCAAAGCAUAGUUUGUAACUUUUGUGCAGUUGUGGGACGAAUAUCAACACCCAAACCUCUGUGAGAAAAAAGAGAGAGAGAGAAGAAAUGGUUGUAAGUUGUACUUAUGUCGCAUGGUGAACCUAUAAAUCAUAGUAAUAAAACUAGCUGAGACUGACCUAAAUCAAUGAGCUUGUGUUGUCGAAGAA